rnacentral:misc_RNA from 1 species
AAGUCGUAACAAGGUUUCCGUAGGUGAACCUGCGGAAGGAUCAUUAACAAAUGCAACGUUUGUUGAAACCCACGCUGCGUAUCGAUACCUGUUGCUUCCCUGGAGCAAUCCAGGGGAGGUAGUCACAAACCCUGCUCUCCCUGAAGUCGGUCUGAACAUGUUUGUUUGUUUGGAAACGUUAAAACUUUCAACAACGGAUCUCUUGGUUCUC